AUUAAAACUUUUCUCUUGUGACUAUGAAGCAUUAAGUGUUCAAGGUUUUCUGCAUUGAGAUCUAAUUUCUAUUAUUAUUAACACAUAUUUGGUCAAAAUGUAAAAUGUUAUGAAUAUUGAUAAUUAUUAAACAUGAAAGAUGAAAAUUUAUUGGAAAUGUGUCUCUUAAUAAGAUGGAUAUGGCUGUCUUUUUCAAAUUAUUCAUGAAUCUGAAGAAGCAUAUGACAUGGUUGGAAUGAUUCUAUAUAAUAGAAUUCAGCAUCAAUUCUAUUUCUAUUUUUCAUUUUUUUGUAGCUUAUAAGGGCUAAGGAAUCUUGUUUAUAUGAGUAAAUCAAUGGGAAUGGUAGCAGUUUUGUUAUAGCAAUGUCAUUUCAUUCUUUGACCUGGUUUACAUGGCAAAAAUUACUCAUUUUUGAUUAUCAGCUAUUAACUUUAUAAGAGCCUCCUUCAAUGUUGUUGAAAGCAGAAAAUUUGAUACCACAUUAUUUGCAAAAGGAUUUUUAGUCAUAACAGUUCCAUCAGGUGUCAAUGUUCCCAAUCAUUCUUUUGUUUAACACUAUAGAGGGUUUUACACCCCGGGACAAUGGACUGUAUAAAUGAUGAGUGAGUGGUAGGCUUACAAGAGGAACUGUUUCAGGGGAAUUCCAAGAGCCUUGCCUGGCGUGCACAUUCUCAGGCUCAUCAAUUUUGGGAAGGAGUAUUUGGGGAACAUGAGGAUCUGGAAACUCACUUCCUAAAACUGCCUGUGCCCAUACAUCCCUUGAAAAGUCUUUGUAAUCCCCAAAUAUCCCAGUUUGAUGACCAACACUAUAAGGAACAAAUCUCUCCACAACUGAGAAAUCCCUGGUCUAGGUAAGGAGUAGGCAGGGUGCCUCCCCAGGAAUGAGAGACAGUCCUCAGCUUGAGAGAAUGGGCAGAAGGCCUGGCCCAUUAAUACAGUGUUCAGAUAGAGAUCAAUAAACACAGAGGUGGUGAUUUAGGGUUGCAGACAUUUGAGUACAUCAAGGCAUCCUGAGAAUGUACAGCCUUACAUUAAGGGAACUCAGACUAACUUCAGUAUUCUAGAGUUCCUCUUAGCUGCUGCCUGGAUGUAGGAAAUGUAAUAAAGAUAGAAAACAGUUAUAUCUAGGCUAAUGGCUUUCCUGGUGACUCACUGAUGGUUGAGGUGUGAGGAGGUCACUGUCCCUGUAACAACUGAGGGUCUUUUAACCACCUCUGUGGACCCUUAUUAUAUGCCAGGUACCAUGCUCAGUUCUUUAUGUUCAUUAUCUCUCUCAAUGUUGACAAAAAUCCUGUGUGGUUGGUACUACUAUUGUUCUUCUUCUACAAAUAAGCAAAAUGUGAGGUUAUGAAAGGCAAAAUAACCUGCCCAAGGACAAGGAUGAACACAAAUUCAUCCGUAUGUCCAGUCCCUCUAGUUUGUCCUUCUUUGUACCAGAUCAUAAAGUCACACACUUCUGCCAAGGUUAAUGGUUUUUUGGGGCCAAAACCCACAGACCCUCUAGAAGACAGUAUAGACCAUCUGAGGUCCAAUGCGUGUGAGGGGAGAGGCCAGAGAAAUAUUGGCAUCGUGUAUCUCAGAGCACUCAAGCCCGGAGACCAUAAGCCAAUGAACAAGCAAAAUCCAUUUUUUAUAGUUGUCAUAUGUCUUUCCCCAAAUCACCUUUUCUAGAACAAACAAGAGUGUGAAGAUUCUCUCUAUAUUUAGGGUUUUGACUUGUACUGGGGUGCAGAGGUACCUGAAUCCAGAGGAACAGGGACAGCUAUAGACUUCAUGGGACUCUCUUGGGCUACCCACUUCCCUUUACUGGAUCUCAGCUACUUCAUCUGCAAUAAAUAGGGCUUGCAUUUGAGCAGUGUUUUCCAAACUUGUAACUUUUUUAUGAUCCAAAGUAAGAAAAAAAAUUUUAUACCAUGACCUAACACACACACACACACCUCCCUGAGAAAUUAGUUUUACAGUACUCAGUACUACUCUGGGAUGUCUUCUGAUCUACUCUAUCUAUUCUCUUCUAUUCAUUAUUUUUUAAAGGGUGGGAAACAUGCAUCUGGUUGCUACUCACUAAAUUGAUAUUUUAAUUCACUAAUGGGUAGCAAACCAUGGUUUUAAAAACUCUGGAUUCAGGGUAUAAACUAUUGAAAAAGAGUACCUUAAUAAUCAAGUCAGGGAUGUUCCAUGGGAGAACUGUGAAUUAGGCAAAGCUUAUUUUUCAAACCCUCCCACAUUUCAAGGACUAAUUUUCCUGGCUUCCUCCAGUCCCAUUUUAUUCCUAUAGCUCCUACCUCCUUUCACUUGUACUUCAGCUGCUUUGUACUCAGAUGUCAAAAAUUAUUUCCAAGCAGAUGCUUUCGUUUUCUCUGAAAUAGCUCUGUCUCCUUAAAAGCAGCCUUCUUGUUUUUGCUUGAGCUACCUUUAAUGGGUUUCUGUGACUUGCAGGUCCUCUGUUGGAGAGAUGCUUCCAUGGAUUCUAGUCCUUGACACCACUCACCUUUGACUUUCAGAGUCAGGUACUUGUAGUCCCAGGCAACCCCAUAGAUGAUUAUGCAUUGGUACUGUCCUUCGUCCCUCACUUGGACUUGAGGUAUGUGGAACAAGGCCUUCCCUAGGGACAGCUGCUCCUCCAGCAAAGUGGCUCUUUCACGGUGUGGGGAUGUAUCAUUUUCCACCUUUUGCAAACUGGCUGUUAUUGCUCCAAGGUUCACAUGACUUCCAGUGUCAAAGUUGCAUUCCAGUGUCGCAUUGCUGCCAUGCUCUAUUAUGUACAGUUCCUUAGGGACUGUCACCGUGAAUAAAGCUGAAAAGAAAACAAGAUAUUUUGCCAUUGUCUGCCUUUACUUUACAUUCCAGUUCUUACAAAGUGUGACCUGAGACCCAUCUCACCCCCAUUUUCCAAAAGGCACCUGUCAUUAUCUCGACAUUCCCUUGGCGAAUCCUUUCUCUCCUUUGCCCCAUCCAUCUGGGCAAGAGUGGGAUUCUUGACCCGCUGAUCUGAGGUAGCUCUCUCCUCCAAACAUUCCCUCCUGGGCAGCUGACUGCCCUUUGCUCCUCUCUGGGCACCCCAGCAAGAGCUUCUGGUGGACAACACUGCUUGCUCUCAGACGCCUCUCCCACCUCCAGUCCCUGACCCCCUGAGCCCUACGGUCAUUCCAGGUCGUAUGUCAUAUAAGAACAAAAUGCUUCCUUAGGACUUCCCUACCAUCAAGCUCUGAGCUCAUGUUACUUAAAUACCUUCACAUCCUAUUCUCCAGGUUCAUUUUCCUCAAUCCAUAUUGAUUAAUUUAUAUAUUUUCCUGCCAAAUAUCACUUCCUCUCACCAGUGGUGGUGAUAAUAACUAUUACUUGUUGAGUUCUUACAAUUAUCAGACACUCUGCUAACACAUUGUCUCACUGAGUCUUCCUAGAAGCCAGCAAGGUAGGUAAUAAUAUUCUAUCCUUUUUGUUUUUCAGAAAACAAAAAUGAGGCACAAAAAGGUUAAGUAACUUGCCUAAGAUUGCACAGCCAGAAUCAGAUCAGGUAUUUCUAACCACCACAUCAUACAAGCCCACUGUAGAUGCUUUCUAUUUUCUAACAAUAAAGGGAAAGGAAAAAUGGAACUGAUAUUUAAUGUAUACCUAGUAUGUACCACGCCAGGCACUGUAGUAGGAACUUUUAACUAUAUUGUUUAAUACUGAAAACAUGACCAUGAAACAUGUUUUGUCAUUAUGGUUAUAUAGUUGAGGAAACUGGCUCCAAGCAGUUCACUUCAGGACAUGCAUUAGUAAAUUUAAAAUCCAGAGCCAGUCAGAUGUUUGACUUCAAAAUCCGUAGUUUCCACUCAGUGUUAACCAAAAUGUGAGGGACACGCCACUAGAAGUAUGUAAAAUGAUUUUAGUUGAGGCAGAAUCAAAGCCUAAAGGGAGUUAAAUUAUUCAGAGAGGAAUUUGUUCCCUUUUCAAUUAUAUUUCCUUCAAUUGUAUAUAAUUUGCAACUAGACUUCCAUACUUCCAUACAUACCUCUAACACUGGCUAUUUUUCCUUUUAAUCAAAUAGGAAUCUUCCAGGCAGAUAACAGUAUCUGGGUAGGAUUUGAUAACACUGCUUUAUUUUCAUUGCGUUUAUUUUUCUUCCUAUUCUCUAUUUACCAGUGCAAAUGAUACUUGUUUUUUAUCUACCACAGGGGUAUAUGGUUUUAUUUUUUAAAAGUUGAAUUGAUCUAAAUAGUUCUAUAAAAAUGCAUAAGGAGUGGCCAAACUAGUAAAGGUAGUGUUUACAUCAAUAAAGUGUGAAAAAUGACAAAAUUAGGCUGCUUCCAUCAUUAAUGAAUGGGUAUUCAUUGUGAUGGAGAUAUAGGAAAAUCUUGAAGUAGUUUUGGAAUAAUCACAGAAGAUUAGAUCAAAUUAUGUUCAGUAGAGCUUCAUUCGUUCAUUCAAUCAAAUCAUUCAUUCAACAAAUAUUUGGGGACUUCCUCUAAGCAUUAGCUAUUCAAGAAGUUGUUUCAGUAUAAAAUGUGAUAUGCAAGAGCAUAGGAUAUAGUGACAGGUGAGCCUGGGUUCAAAUGCUGACUAUCAGAAUUAGGAGUCCUUUGACUGUGAGUCCAUCCUUUAAUCUCUGUGAGCUUCAGCCUCCUUAUCUAUAAAAUGAGGUUGGACUCUACCUCUCAGUAUUAUGGUGGAGGCUGGACGAGGUGUUACAUGUGAAGUGCCUAGAUCUGUCAGGCAGUAAGCACUCAGCAAAUGUUCGUUUCUUUCUUUCGUAUCUUUAAUUCUUGGGAAAGUGGUAAUUCAUAUGUGGAAUGCAUGGUCAAUCUUUAUCCUCCAGGAUAUUUUACUAACCAGGACAGUCCAUUCUCUGAUCAGAUUUCACAGUAUAAGUAACUUUUGGGUUUUCUGCUGCUUGAAUGAUUCCCAUUGCAGUUGUCCUCUGAUUCAAGUUUUUCUUCCCACUAUCCUGCAAAUCUUUGAAGGCAAAGACCAGGCUGAGUUUGCUUUGAUAUAUCCAGUAUGUAGUACAUACCAAGUUCUAGUUAAGAGCUUGGCAAAUAAAUGACAUAAAGAGAGAGAGGGAGAAAGAAAGGAUGACCCUGGUUAUAUAUUCACCUCUGCUUUCCUUUAAUCAAACUGCAACUUGCCUGUGAUCACACAAAUUGACCUUCUUAAUUGCCACACAGCACACUUGAUAGUGAUAUCCACAAACCUGAGAUUUAUUUCAAAUGACCAACAUUUACAGCUUGCCUCUAUUCCCUGUUUUAACUAUGGCUAGAACAUUAAUGUGCCUUUCUACAGAGAGGAGUUCAUGUGUGCCCAGCAUUCUUUUGUGCAGGAGGGGCACAGGGGCAGGGCUAUAAGGUGAGUGUAUGUGUGUACAACAGUGCUAAUCAUAUCUGCACUUGCUGUGCCAGGUUGCAAAGAACCUGAAAUAAUGCAUGUAAAAAGAGAUUUCCUGUAUGAUUCUUUUAUUCCACUGCACACUUGGAAUAGCUCUCACCUCGGAAUCUCUGUAAUGGGACCCUCUUCAGGGCAGAUCCCUUUAUGAUGGAAGCCAUCCUUAAAUACUUGAGUUAUUAAGUCCCUUAUAACUUAAUGCAGAGCCACCUGAUAUCAAAUCCGAUCUGUCCUUGAAGAAUAAUAUUCAACUAUUCAUCAAAUAUGUAGUAAUCAUAUGCCAAGUUCAAGAAUUACCUACUACUUUUACUUUUCUAUAAUUCUUCUCUUGUUUAAUUACAUAUGACACAUAGGAAACAGGGAAGAAAAUGGGACUUACAAGGAAGGUUAGUUGCUGAGUCUGCGUAAAAACAAGAAUUAAAUAGAUGACUUUGGGUAGAGACUCUGUUGAAUCUAUUUAGCAAAUUUAUUUACUGCACUAUGCUUUCAUUUCAUGAGAAAGGGAACGCCUAUAACUUCCUCUGGAACUCCCCUUAGUUUACAGCAGAACUCCCCUCUUUACUGCCUGGGCCUUUGAUAAAAGUCCAUUUUCUUCCUGUUUUUCCUGUCUGCUUUGUAAGAAUAUGUGCCAGGAGUGAUAGGCAUAACGUAUGCUCCUUUUCAGACAGGCGACAUUUUUCAGCUAAUAUUUACAAGAGAAAACAGCAAUUAGCAAACAUGAAUCAUGUGUCUGAAUAGCUCAGAAUACCUAGAAGAUUAAUUGUUAUUUGGUCUAAUUUUGCCCCAAGUAAAGUUUCUAAGACGUGCAAAUUUUGAGCUUGAUUACUCCAUACAAAAUAAGGGGUUUAGGAAAUGCAAUACAUUUUUGAAAUCCUGAAACAUUCUUGCUUAUUGUAAGUUACAGAGUCAAUCAAAACACUGUUGGAAACAAUUCUAUGAAGAGGUUUUUUUCUCAAGCCCAGCUACAAAUAAGAUUCAUUAAGCAGAGGGCCUCAAUCUUGGCUAACAUUGGAAUCACCUGGGAGGCUUUUAAAACACACUAAUGUCCAGACACUACUUUGGAUCUGUUAAAAUUAAAUUAUUUGGGGGAUGAGGUCAGCAUCAUUAAAAAUUUUCUUUUCCUGGGAGCUUCUCAUGUGCAGACAGUAUUGGGAACCAUUAGUUACACAAAUUAACAUUUGCACUUGCAAACAUCUUUUACCACCUUGCCCUUCAAAGUGUUGUCCUCAGCUUCACCUGGAAGCUAGGUAGAAGUGUAGAAUUUCAGGCAUACCCCAGACCUAGAGAAUCAGGAUCUGCAUUUAACAAGGUCACCGUGAUGUGCAUGCAUAUUAAUGUUCGAGAAGUAGAGUUAUAACAUUGGUCUGCAUUUGGGAAGUAGAGUAAUAGUUGAUAUUUCUUAAAUGCAGUAAGUCAGACACUGGGCUAGCCCAUCAUUUCAUUUCAUGCUCCCAACAACUCUGCAAGGUAGAUGUUGCUAUCCACAUUUUACAGAUGGGGAAACUGAGGCUUAAAGAAGUGAUGUAACUUGCCCAAGGUCAAAGAAUGGUAGCUCAUGGAACCAGAAUUCAAAUUCAUCUCUGUGUCUUCAAUGCAUAUUUAUUUCUGUGCUACCAAUGACUGCAGUUAUGACUAUGUAUCCACUGGCAUGUGUACACUACAUCCAUGAGUGAGGUGUUUUUUUUUUGUUUUUGUUUUUGUUUGCUAUAUGUUAAGGAAAAGAUGUUUGGUUUUCUAUUUUACAUGCCACAUGGUUAUUAAAUUAAGCUUCAAUCUAGCAUUGAGCUCCUGAAGGUAUUAGACAAAGGACAAAACUGGAAGGUUUCCACAGCUACAAAAUUAAGCAGACAACACAGGCUUUCCAUUCAUUUGGGGCCCUUAACUAAACUAAAGGGCAAAACACUUGGCAAAAGCAUGAAAAAUUUAUACAUGCAGGUCCUUUUGCUAGAUUAGAACACUUAACUUGAUGCAUUUCAAAAAUUCUUGAGGGAGCUUUGCAUUUUAUUGCAACCAGGCAUCAAUGGUAGUCAGCACCUGUCACAUCUUCAGGAAACUUUCACACAAUAAAUCGUUUGCAUUGCCCAAGACAGCUUCCUCUUUAAGCUAAGUUUAUAUUUUAUCCCCCACAUUUAACAACAGAAGUGUAAGUUUUUUCAGACUUGCCACAUAAUGUACUUGAGAAGUACGGGUGGGGUGGGAGGUGCUUUACAUAGCCACAUUCUUCAGAAAACUCUGAAGUUCCUGGUUUAGGACAAAAUUCUGCUCUAUGCACCUGACUCAUGUUCUGCUCAGUGUAGGAGGACUGCAUGGAGACACGUUUUAGCAUAGAAAUCCUUUCCUCAACCUAAUUCUUCUCCUUUGUAUAUCUCAGCAGUCAGCAGAAGUAGUUUUGGAUCUAAAGAUAGGCCAAGUGGAGUAACCCAGGCUGAGGUCUGUGCCCCAGAAUGACCUCAGACAUCACCAUGGUCAUUGUGGUCCCCCUGGUUUUCGUCUACCUCUGGAGUAUGAAGAGAGAAGAAAAACAUCAAUGAAAAAAGAAAGACCAGUCUUUCCUCUAAGACAUGACAAGGUACCCUCUUCUGAAAUCAAAACUCUUUAAUUAAAGAGACAUGAAAUGACAAGAUUUUUUAAAAAAUAUCAUGAGGAGAAGGCAUUCUAAUUUAGGAUUCAAAAGCAUGGUGUAUAAACACAGAAGCAAUGAAGAAAGAACUAGUAAGCAGGCUGCAAAUAUUCCAAGUAACUUUCUCCACUGGGAUGUUAAACUAAGCAUUUUAUGAAACACAAAAUAAACAAGAAAAUGGACAUGCUGGUGUACCAAGUAACAAAAUAAAUAAGGAUAUUUUAUUAAAUUAAUGCAGGUACAAAAAGUGACAAUCAAAUGCAGAAUUAGAUAUCAUCUCUGCCUAUGCCAUUUACGAUGAAACAUGAGACAAAAGGGAUAAAGUGCCUUACAAAUCCAACACCAAAAGGAGGAGUUAGGAAUAGACUGAGUAGACUAUGUGCCUUGCUCAGCCACAGUUCUUGCCUGUAAUUCACACAAAGAACACUGUCACACAAAUUACUGUACAAAUGCACAUGUACAAACAGAUAACACAAGGAGCUCUGUUGGAGACGCUGUUUCUUCAACCUUGACGGGUGGCAAAGCGAAGGUAUUCCUUGUCACUGACACCAGAAUGUGGCCAAGAGGGAAAGGAAACUCUGGGAUCUCUCAGGGCAUCUGAAUCUCAAAACCUCCAGGAAGCCUCUUAGGAGGCCUGUGUAGUGAUGACAGCUGGUGGCAUUAAAGGGUUCAAGCACAACGAAUGAGGCUUUUCUGGCACAGGGUAACUAGCAGUCAAGGUACACUACUGGAAUUUCCAGAAAGAAAAUGUGAUUUUGCAAGUACAGCAUCAAAGUGAAGUUUAUACUUGACAGAAAGCAGAAAACAAAAGUUCCAGAUAUGAUUCUGUCAUACAGAGUUAAUAAUAAGAUUGCUUUUUAGGACUAGAUUGACUCAGUGCACCCUGGAGAGCCCAUGGGUCUCCUUUUGAGCAAACAUAAAUCCAAACUCAGUCCUAGAGCAAAUACUUAACAAAUGCUGGUUGUCUAAAUGUAUAUGUAGCACAUAUUUAACAUGUACUAAAUCAUAUGAAAGAUUAUGAAAAGCUAUGGGAAAGAUAACUUAGAAACAAAGAAGGCAUGUGUCCUGACCCUUGGGAGCUUCAAAUUCAUUCCAUCUGCUACAUAAGAAACACUACAAUAAAUAAAAAUAGCAAAGUGCACAGCAGACAUAUAAUGUGUUACUAUUUAGGGAAAAAAAUUUAAAAAUAUAUGCUUUUAACAUACAUUUCCAAAUGUAGACUAUCUUUAGAAGAACAUAUGAAUAAAAGGCAGUAGCAGUUGCUUCUGGAAAGGAAACUUGAAUGGCUUGGAGGAUGAAGUGGAGAUUUUCAAACCAUCUCCCAUGGGAUCUUUUGAAUUUUGAAUCAUGGAAAGGUAUGAAUUUAAAAUUUAAUAGCAUUU